UAUCGCGCAAUACUUGGACUCGGGUGCCGCUCACUCCCAGGUCAUUUUCCCUUUCAGCAGCAAGUCAGGGAUUUUAAACAGCCGAGAUGAAAGGCUCUUGUCCCCGCCUCCCUUGAGUUCAUGUAUUAUGAAUGAAACGCCAACCUUGCUGCUUUGAGGUGCUCCACAUCAGGCAGAAAUAUUUAAGAACCAAUGCUUGAUUCUUCAUAUUCCAUACCCCUUGCCACUGUGACCUGUGAUCUUUUAAAUGGUACAUGCUUCAUCAGCCUGCAUCCCUGAGUGAGAAUGAUGUGGAGCAGAGAUCUCAGCCAACCUGUGAUGGGUGUGAAGCUUACACUGUCUGCUCUGGUAGAUGGGAAGAGCAUUAAUGCUGGAGGCCACAAACUUGGGCUUGCUUUGGAGUUGGAGGCUUAAUCCAGCUGAAGAAACCUCUGGGAAUGGAUAUUGGAAGAUUUGGCCUUAAUAUAUUUCCAUUGUGACCAGCAGGCUUUUUUUUUCCCCCAAGAAGGUGAUCAAAACAAAGGAUGAUCUAAACAAGAGCUGUAUUUUAAAUACUUAGACAGUUACUUGUUAGCUGGUUUCUAGUUGAAUUGGUUAUCUAGUUACCAAUGCUGCAGUCUUGCAGUCACCUAUACAUUAUUUAAAUGUAUUUAACUGUUAAAUGCGCUACCCACCAAUAAUGAAAUAGACCUUUAUGAAAACUGUG